UUUGCGUUUACUGGUCAUGUGAUCUUGGGUCACUUCACCUCUCUGGUCUUCAAUUUAUCCAUCUAUACGUAGGCUCAUGUGAUCAGUAAAUGAAUGUAAAGUGCUUCAAACAGCACUUUGCAUGCAGUAGAAGCUUAACGAAGGUCAGCUCUUAAUUUAAAGUGAUGAAGAUGAUAAAUGACAGAGCCGAUGGCCAUGGUGGAAAGAAGACCAACCAGCCUGGGAAUGAGAACAUCCGGAUACUCACUUUGGUUGCAUGAUUAACUAGGAGUGAGAAUUCCUUGAAAACAAAGCAAAGAGCAUAAGGGAAAUAUUGAUGGGAAGCAAGCCGAAAAAUUCAUAGCAAGAUCCUUAAUCACAUGCCUAUUUCUGAGUGGAAUCAUAAGUGAGACGGCCUCACAGAGACCCUCGGCAGCUUUACGUCAGCGGGUCGACCGAAUCAGACUCCCUAAGGCAGAGGUGCUGACUGGGUGUGUAUUGAGGACUAGUCCUGCCAGCUGGGCUGUAUGGAGGUGGUGAGGAUACAAGAUGAUCAUAGCAGAAAAUAAGAUAUCUGUUGGCAUGUGUAAUUCCAGGUGGUUCUAACCAGAAAUCAUAAAUCAUCCAUUAGUGGUAGAGUGGCAGCAAUUUUUCAUGAAAACAGUUGGCUAGUAUUUUGUGCUGUUCCACAUUUGGGGGAAAGACUAGAGUGAAGAUGUCAGUGAGCAGAUCUGAGAGACGAUUUCAUUUCUCCUGAGGAAGGGACAGCUGACCUUGAAGAAUUAACUGAAUCUUUCCUUUGACAACUCUAUACAGUCCACACAUCAAUUCUGAUGAUGUAUUUGUCUAAAGAAGAUUUUUGUUAUAAUUUUCAACACACCUGUAUUUCAAAUUGGACUCAAGUGAAAAGCAGAAUUUGAAUUUACUAGGAAUGUCUUCUAUUGUUAGAACUAAAAAUCCAUGCCAUGUCUUCAGUUCUGGCCCAAACCUACUGUGCACCCGGCAGAGUGCCCUGGAAAACGCACCUGUCACACAGCUGCCACCAUUGUCGAUGUUGGCUCUUCACCAGGAUGUUCACAGAAGAAUGAAUUUGUGAGACAGAAAAAGUGAGAUGAGGAUAACUUUAUCAACUGCUAUUUUGUUCUGUGAUAAUUUGUUUUAUGUUUUCACAUGCUUUGCUUUCUGUGUACUUGAUUUUCACUGCAAAAGAAAAUAAAAAACAGAAGCAUGAAUACUCUUGAUGACCAGAGCUGCUCUUGGGAGUUACAAUGUAGCAAGAGACAAGUUCUAAAAUAAAAGCGAGUCUG